GACGAACGCUGGCGGCGUGCUUAACACAUGCAAGUCGAACGGAAAGGCCCUGCUUUUGUGGGGUGCUCGAGUGGCGAACGGGUGAGUAACACGUGAGUAACCUGCCCUUGACUUUGGGAUAACUUCAGGAAACUGGGGCUAAUACCGGAUAGGAGCUCCUGCUGCAUGGUGGGGGUUGGAAAGUUUCGGCGGUCGGGGAUGGACUGGCGGCUUAUCAGCUUGUUGGUGGGGUAGUGGCUUACCAAGGCUUUGACGGGUAGCCGGCCUGGGAGGGUGACCGGCGACAUUGGGCCUGAGAUACGGCCCAGACUCCUACGGGAGGCAGCAGUGGGGAAUAUUGCACAAUGGGCGGAAGCCUGAUGCAGCAACGCCGCGUGCGGGAUGACGGCCUUCGGGUUGUAAACCGCUUUCGCCUGUGACGAAGCGUGAGUGACGGUAAUGGGUAAAGAAGCACCGGCUAACUACGUG
rnacentral:rRNA from 1 species